rnacentral:rRNA from 1 species
GUCUAAUCUGCCCAAUGAAUUGAUUUAAAUGGCCGCAGUAUUUUGACUGUGCAAAGGUAGCAUAAUAAUUAGUUUUUUAAUUGAAAGCUGGAAUGAAUGAUUGAACGAGAAAAAUACUUUAUUAAAUUUAAUUUAAAUGAAUUUUAUUUUUGAGUUAAAAAGCUUAAAUAUAAUUAAAAGACGAGAAGACCCUAUAGAGUUUUAUAAAAAUGAAAAAUUAUUUUAAUAAUUUUUAAGUUAGUUUUUUCUUUUUAUUUUAUUGGGGUGAUAAUUAAAUUUAGUAAACUUUAAUAUAUAAAAACAUGAAUUAAUGAGUUAUUGAUCCAUUAUAAUGAUUAAAAGAUUAAAUUACCUUAGGGAUAACAGCGUUAUUUUUCUUAGAGUUCUUAUUAAAAGAGAAGUUUGCGACCUCGAUGUUGGAUUAAAUUUUAUAUUUGGUGUAGAGGCUAAAUUAUUA